rnacentral:rRNA from 1 species
UACAGAGGCCUCAAGCGUUGUUCGGAUUUACUGGGCGUAAAGGGCGCGUAGGCGGCAAUUCAAGUCAGCUGUGAAAUCUCCGGGCUUAACUCGGAACGGUCAGCUGAUACUGCUUGCUAGAGUGCAGAAGGGGCAAUCGGAAUUCUUGGUGUAGCGGUGAAAUGCGUAGAUAUCAAGAGGAACACCUGAGGUGAAGACGGGUUGCUGGGCUGACACUGACGCUGAGGCGCGAAAGCUAGGGUAGCAAACGGG